UUAAGCGACUAAGCGUACACGGUGGAUGCCCUGGCAGUCAGAGGCGAUGAAGGACGUGCUAAUCUGCGAAAAGCGUCGGUAAGGUGAUAUGAACCGUUACAGCCGGCGAUGUCCGAAUGGGGAAACCCAGUGCAAUUCGUUGCACUAUCGUUAACUGAAUACAUAGGUUAACGAGGCGAACCGGGGGAACUGAAACAUCUAAGUACCCCGAGGAAAAGAAAUCAACCGAGAUUCCCCCAGUAGCGGCGAGCGAACGGGGAGCAGCCCAGAGUCUGAAUCAGCUUGUGUGUUAGUGGAACGGUCUGGAAAGUCCGACGGUACAGGGUGAUAGUCCCGUACACCAAAAUGCACAGGCUGUGAACUCGAAGAGUAGGGCGGGACACGUGGUAUCCUGUCUGAAUAUGGGGGGACCAUCCUCCAAGGCUAAAUACUCCUGACUGACCGAUAGUGAACCAGUACCGUGAGGGAAAGGCGAAAAGAACCCCGGCGAGGGGAGUGAAAAAGAACCUGAAACCGUGUACGUACAAGCAGUGGGAGCACCUUCGGGUGUGACUGCGUACCUUUUGUAUAAUGGGUCAGCGACUUAUAUUCUGUAGCAAGGUUAACCGUAUAGGGGAGCCGCAGGGAAACCGAGUCUUAACUGGGCGUUAAGUUGCAGGGUAUAGACCCGAAACCCGGUGAUCUAGCCAUGGGCAGGUUGAAGGUUGGGUAACACUAACUGGAGGACCGAACCGACUAAUGUUGAAAAAUUAGCGGAUGACUUGUGGCUGGGGGUGAAAGGCCAAUCAAACCGGGAGAUAGCUGGUUCUCCCCGAAAGCUAUUUAGGUAGCGCCUCGUGAACUCAUCUUCGGGGGUAGAGCACUGUUUCGGCUAGGGGGUCAUCCCGACUUACCAACCCGAUGCAAACUACGAAUACCGAAGAAUGUUAUCACGGGAGACACACGGCGGGUGCUAACGUCCGUCGUGAAGAGGGAAACAACCCAGACCGCCAGCUAAGGUCCCAAAGUCAUGGUUAAGUGGGAAACGAUGUGGGAAGGCACAGACAGCCAGGAUGUUGGCUUAGAAGCAGCCAUCAUUUAAAGAAAGCGUAAUAGCUCACUGGUCGAGUCGGCCUGCGCGGAAGAUGUAACGGGGCUAAACCAUGCACCGAAGCUGCGGCAGCGACACUAUGUGUUGUUGGGUAGGGGAGCGUUCUGUAAGCCUGCGAAGGUGACCUGUGAGGGUUGCUGGAGGUAUCAGAAGUGCGAAUGCUGACAUAAGUAACGAUAAAGCGGGUGAAAAGCCCGCUCGCCGGAAGACCAAGGGUUCCUGUCCAACGUUAAUCGGGGCAGGGUGAGUCGACCCCUAAGGCGAGGCCGAAAGGCGUAGUCGAUGGGAAACAGGUUAAUAUUCCUGUACUUGGUGUUACUGCGAAGGGGGGACGGAGAAGGCUAUGUUAGCCGGGCGACGGUUGUCCCGGUUUAAGCAUGUAGGCUGAUUAUCCAGGCAAAUCCGGAUAAUCAAGGCUGAGGUGUGAUGACGAGGCACUACGGUGCUGAAGUAACAAAUGCCCUGCUUCCAGGAAAAGCCUCUAAGCAUCAGGUAACAUCAAAUCGUACCCCAAACCGACACAGGUGGUCAGGUAGAGAAUACCAAGGCGCUUGAGAGAACUCGGGUGAAGGAACUAGGCAAAAUGGUGCCGUAACUUCGGGAGAAGGCACGCUGGUGUGUAGGUGAAGCCCCUGCGGGUGGAGCUGAGACCAGUCGAAGAUACCAGCUGGCUGCAACUGUUUAUUAAAAACACAGCACUGUGCAAACACGAAAGUGGACGUAUACGGUGUGACGCCUGCCCGGUGCCGGAAGGUUAAUUGAUGGGGUUAUCCGUAAGGAGAAGCUCUUGAUCGAAGCCCCGGUAAACGGCGGCCGUAACUAUAACGGUCCUAAGGUAGCGAAAUUCCUUGUCGGGUAAGUUCCGACCUGCACGAAUGGCGUAAUGAUGGCCAGGCUGUCUCCACCCGAGACUCAGUGAAAUUGAACUCGCUGUGAAGAUGCAGUGUACCCGCGGCAAGACGGAAAGACCCCGUGAACCUUUACUAUAGCUUGACACUGAACAUUGAGCCUUGAUGUGUAGGAUAGGUGGGAGGCUUUGAAGCGUGGACGCCAGUCUGCGUGGAGCCAACCUUGAAAUACCACCCUUUAAUGUUUGAUGUUCUAACGUUGGCCCCUGACCGGGGUUGCGGACAGUGUCUGGUGGGUAGUUUGACUGGGGCGGUCUCCUCCCAAAGCGUAACGGAGGAGCACGAAGGUUAGCUAAUCCUGGUCGGACAUCAGGAGGUUAGUGCAAUGGCAUAAGCUAGCUUGACUGCGAGCGUGACGGCGCGAGCAGGUGCGAAAGCAGGUCAUAGUGAUCCGGUGGUUCUGAAUGGAAGGGCCAUCGCUCAACGGAUAAAAGGUACUCCGGGGAUAACAGGCUGAUACCGCCCAAGAGUUCAUAUCGACGGCGGUGUUUGGCACCUCGAUGUCGGCUCAUCACAUCCUGGGGCUGAAGUAGGUCCCAAGGGUAUGGCUGUUCGCCAUUUAAAGUGGUACGCGAGCUGGGUUUAGAACGUCGUGAGACAGUUCGGUCCCUAUCUGCCGUGGGCGCUGGAGAAUUGAGGGGGGCUGCUCCUAGUACGAGAGGACCGGAGUGGACGCAUCACUGGUGUUCGGGUUGUCAUGCCAAUGGCACUGCCCGGUAGCUAAAUGCGGAAGAGAUAAGUGCUGAAAGCAUCUAAGCACGAAACUUGCCCCGAGAUGAGUUCUCCCUGAGACUUUAAGUCUCCUGAAGGAACGUUGAAGACGACGACGUUGAUAGGCCGGGUGUGUAAGCGCAGCGAUGCGUUGAGCUAACCGGUACUAAUGAACCGUGAGGCUUAACCUU
rnacentral:rRNA from 1 species